UCCGGUUUGUCACCGGCAGUCCCAUUAGAGUGCCCAACUUAAUGUGGCAACUAAUGGCAAGGGUUGCGCUCGUUGCGGGACUUAACCCAACAUCUCACGACACGAGCUGACGACAGCCAUGCAGCACCUGUGUCCAGGUUCCCUUUCGGGCACCCUCACAUCUCUGCGAGGUUCCUGGCAUGUCAAGGGUAGGUAAGGUGGGGAUGACGUCCCUUACAGCGUAC
rnacentral:misc_RNA from 1 species